rnacentral:lncRNA from 1 species
GAGAUUAUAACCUCUAUGAACCUCAUUCCGUAUGUGAAACAGUGACUUCAUCACUCACAUUGAUCUUUCGUCCAAAGUUGUUCAACGCGGUGUGGUGCAUUUUGGCCUUGCACCUAUUCCUGGAUUUCGUGAGUGGCUCUAGAAAGUCUGUCCAAGCUUUCAUGGAAGCGGCCUCACCUCAACACUCAUAUAGGUGAAUCUAUCAAGUGUACACCACAGUCAAGCACACCACUCAUUCAUGAGCUAUAGAUUCAUUAAGAGAAAAACUCAACCUCCAUCGCUGUAGUAUACAC